GGGAGGACGAAAAAAUGGAUAGGUUCGUUGAUAUGGAAGAUGAAGAGAACGUGAUGGAAGAUGAAGAAAAUGUGAUGGAAGAUGAGGAGAAUGAAGAGAACGUAAACAACGUAGAAGCGAUGGACUCCGACGAUGAUGGCCAGGGAGUUGGGUAUGAGCAAGGGGGCUGGGAGUUUGGCUUUGAAGGCACUUCCAACAGAUGGAAUGGUGAUUUAGGGUUGGGUAGCGAUGAGGAUGUGGAUUUAUCUGAGGACUACAAUGGCACUGAAGAAGGGGGAAAUGAUGAUAUAGAGGAGUUAGAUGUUGAUAGCAGCGAAGAGUCGGAUUGUUCACCAAAUAGGAUAGGUGAACA
rnacentral:misc_RNA from 1 species